UGCAACAUGGCUGCGCCCAGGGAAGAGGCGUGACCCUUUUCGUUUCGGGCUUGCACUGACUUUGCGGCUGCUACACUUAUGUCUGGGGCUGCGGGGCUGGUUCAUACAUGAAUGCCGAUCGCUUAUCACAACAUUAGCCCGAUGACUGGGAUAUGCAACUGAGCUAUAACAUGAUCUCCAGUCCGGCACAAUACUUUUCACUGGAAACAACUGACGCAUUUGUCUGGGAGUCUGCAAGCACUGAAAAACCAAGAGAGACUGCUCUUUGGGGCUCAAAUCAAGAGAGCGGCAGGGAAGAACUUGAACAGGCAGAUGACAGAUAAUGUGGUUUUCUCAAGUAACCUGGGCAAAAGCAGCAGGAAGAAAACCAAGCGGG